AGUGAACGCUGGCGGUAGGCCUAACACAUGCAAGUCGAACGGCAGCACAGUAAGAGCUUGCUCUUACGGGUGGCGAGUGGCGGACGGGUGAGGAAUACAUCGGAAUCUACUUUUUCGUGGGGGAUAACGUAGGGAAACUUACGCUAAUACCGCAUACGACCUACGGGUGAAAGCAGGGGAUCUUCGGACCUUGCGCGAUUGAAUGAGCCGAUGUCGGAUUAGCUAGUUGGCGGGGUAAAGGCCCACCAAGGCGACGAUCCGUAGCUGGUCUGAGAGGAUGAUCAGCCCCACUGGAAGUGAGACACGGUCCAGACUCCUACGGGAGGCAGAAGUCGGGAAUAUUGGACAAUGGGCGCAAGCCUGAUCCAGCCAUACCGCGUGGGUGAAGAAGGCCUUCGGGUUGUAAAGCCCUUUUGUUGGGAAAGAAAAGAAGCAGGUUAAUACCCCGCUGUUCUGACGGUACCCAAAGAAUAAGCAACGGCUAACUUCGUG
rnacentral:rRNA from 1 species